rnacentral:rRNA from 1 species
UACGUAGGUGGCAAGCGUUGUCCGGAUUUACUGGGCGUAAAGAGCGCGCAGGCGGUCGCUCAAGUCGCGUGUGAAAGCCCCCGGCUCAACUGGGGAGGGUCACGCGAUACUGAUCGACUGGAAGGCAGGAGAGGGUAGUGGAAUUCCCGGUGUAGUGGUGAAAUGCGUAGAUAUCGGGAGGAACACCAGUGGCGAAGGCGACUACCUGGCCUGUUCUUGACGCUGAGGCGCGAAAGCUAGGGGAGCAAACGGGG